rnacentral:rRNA from 1 species
AUUGAACGCUGGCGGCAGGCCUAACACAUGCAAGUCGAGCGGAACGGCGGACGGGCGAGUAAUUCCUAGGAAUCUGCCUGGUAGAGGGGGUUAACGUCCGGAAACGGGCGAUAACACCUCAUACUCUCAGAUGAGCCUAGUUCGGAUGAGUUAGUUGGUGGGGUAAAGGGUUACCAAGGCGACGAUCCGUAACUGGUCUGAGAGGAGGAUCAGUCACACUGGAACUGAGACACGGUCCAGACUCCUACGUGAGGCAGCAGUGGGGAAUAUUGGACAAUGGGCGAAAGCCUGAUCCAGCCAUGCCGCGUGUGUGAAGAAGGUCUUAGGAUUGUAAAGCACUUUCAGUUGGGAGGCGUUACCAACAGAAUAAGCACCGGCUAACUUCGUGCCAGCAGCCGCGGUAAUAC